UGCGGUGAUGUCAUUUUCCCACAGCCCAGAGAGGAGGAGUGAAGUAAGGUUCUUGUGUGCCACUGAAUGCACCAAUCCAAUGGCCCGGUGAUAAAAGCGGGGCAGUCUAAAGCAUUCUUCUUCAGAAGAGACGUCGCUGCUCAACACACAACACACUGGCGGUGAACCUUCUUUCUGACCGUUUUUGUAGCAGUCUGCCACAAUGUCACGUCACCUUUAUCCUCAUACAUUAAAUGAGUCAUAUCAUGCUUUUCAUUCUAAAAAAUAUUAGACUUUAAUGUCUCAGUAAGGUCUCUGUAAAUUUUCAUCCCAUAAAACCCUUUAGAUCGUCCACACUGCCCCUGUCAAUGUGUGGUUUUCACUCUCCAUCAGCAAACGCUGUGUUUUGUGGGCGUGUCGCAAGCGAAGCUGCUCACCACACCUCUGUGCGGAAGCGCAUACCUUUUUUGUUGUUGUUUUUUUUUUAAAUUGGCUCCAUGGAUACGAGCCACCGCACGGUUAGGAUACAAUAGGUGGCAGUAGUGCGACAUUGAGAAUGCAAUCCACCGCAAUCCUCCACAGAAGAAGAAGACCCACUACAGGACUGCACGACGUUAGCCAGCCAGCUAGUUCGUAGCGUAGUAGAACCAUACGUCUACGAUCCCGAAUCUGACCCUGAAGCUGAAGAGGAGGCUGUUGAAGUCACCACAUUUCGGCUGAUGCAAGAUGUGUCUCAUUGUUGUUACAGGUAUCUAGUCUACAGAGGCUAGUGAGCUGGUGCUGAGGAUUCCUGGGGUGAAGAAUCUGAGUUGCCAUCUCUUCAUGCUUGGGUUGUAGAUGAAGGCAGUUUCCUGAUGGAUAAAACACUAAAACACUCAUAGUAUGAUUGAUGUAGACCACCUGUAGAAUAACUCCUUUACCGUUUGAGUAAAAAUGUGUUUUUUGUGAGUGCAACACUCAUUAAGAAUUUUUUUAACUUUAUUUAUAUAUAAUUUAUAUGCGUUUUAUUUAUGGCCGCUUCAACUUUAUAGCUUACCAUAUUAGAAAGAGAAAAACAUGUAAUUUCAAUACUAUGAUUUCCUAAAUAAAAGUGUUUUCCCUUCAGAAA